GAUGAACGCUGGCGGCGUGCCUAAUACAUGCAAGUCGAGCGAACGGACGAGAAGCUUGCUUCUCUGAUGUUAGCGGCGGACGGGUGAGUAACACGUGGAUAACCUACCUAUAAGACUGGGAUAACUUCGGGAAACCGGAGCUAAUACCGGAUAAUAUUUUGAACCGCAUGGUUCAAAAGUGAAAGACGGUCUUGCUGUCACUUAUAGAUGGAUCCGCGCUGCAUUAGCUAGUUGGUAAGGUAACGGCUUACCAAGGCAACGAUGCAUAGCCGACCUGAGAGGGUGAUCAGCCACACUGGAACUGAGACACGGUCCAGACUCCUACGGGAGACAGCAGUAGGGAAUCUUCCGCAAUGGGCGAAAGCCUGACGGAGCAACGCCGCGUGAGUGAUGAAGGUCUUCGGAUCGUAAAACUCUGUUAUUAGGGAAGAACAUAUGUGUAAGUAACUGUGCACAUCUUGACGGUACCUAAUCAGAAAGCCACGGCUAACUACGUG
rnacentral:rRNA from 1 species